AUUGAACGCUGGCGGCAGGCCUAACACAUGCAAGUCGAGCGAGCGGCGGACGGGUGAGUAAUGUCUGGAAAACUGCCUGAUGGAGGGGGAUAACUACUGGAAACGGUAGCUAAUACCGCAUACCAUCAGAUUUGCCCAGAUGGGAUUAGGUAGUAGGUGGGUUAGUGGCUCACCUAGGCGACGAGCCCUAGCUGGUCUGAGAGGAUGACCAGCCACACGGGAACUGAGACACGGUGCAGACUCUUACGGGAGGAAGCAGUGGUGAAGAUUGAACAAGGGGCGCAAGGCGGAUGAAGCCAUGCCGCGUGUGUGAAGAAGGCUUUCGGGUUGGAAAGAACUUUCAGCUGGGAGGCGUUACCCGCAGAAGAAGCACCGGCUAACUCCGUGCCAGCAGCCGCGGUAAUAC
rnacentral:rRNA from 1 species